CCCUUAGAUGUCCUGGGCCGCACGCGUGCUACACUGACACUUACACCGAGUUUUUCCAAUGCCGAAAGGCCAUUGGUAAUCAGCAAUAAGUGUCGUGAUGGGGAUAGAUCUUUGGAAUUAUUGAUCUUGAACGAGGAAUGCCUAGUAAUCGUAGGUCAUCAGCCUGCGAUGAUUACGUCCCUGCCCUUUGUACACACCGCCCGUCGCUCCUACCGAUUUCGAGUGGUUCGGUGAACCUUUCGGACCGGCAAUGCCUCGUGUUGCGCCGGAAAGUCAAGUAAACCAUNUNACUUAUNGGAAGGAGAANUCGUANCA
rnacentral:rRNA from 1 species